rnacentral:misc_RNA from 1 species
GCAGGCGGCCCGCGACGCCGGGUGUGUGUGGCUGUGCACCUCACGCGUAAACUUUACUCGUGACUGCGAUAGACACUCCGCGCCCUGACGCAGGACUCAGAAUAACCAGGCGCCCGUGCUGCUCAGCUCGACAUGACUGUGUCUCGGUGAACUCUGAUACACAUUACUGAGCUUACUGAACCUCGCACCGCCUGUGUCUGUGUCCUGUGUGUGUGUGUGUGUGUGUGUGUGUGUGUGUGUGUGUGUGUGAGUGAGUGAGUGAGUGAGUGUGUGUGUGUGUGUGUGUGUGUGUGUGUGUGUGUGUGUGACGAAGCCAUGGCUACUCCACUCUACUUUCCCGAGGAGGACUCACCAGGCCUGGACCUCACCACUGACCCUCAGGUGCCCGUGUCUCUGGCCAUGUCGAGUAUGAACAGCGGAGGAGGACACCAUCAGUUCCAGCAGCAGCAGCAGCAGCAACAGCAUCAGCAGCACCAGCAGCACCAAUCACAGCAUCAGCAGCAGCAACAGGCCGUCCAUAUUCAUGCCCAUGCCCGUGGCCCAUCGUCCAUGAUGUGUGCCACCCCCACACAGCCCCACCACACCCACCACCUCAGCAGUGGCCAUGUCCAGUCCUCAACACAUCAAAUGGGUGGAGCCAGUGGGGGCAGCUAUGGUAAUGUUCCUCGUCUCCACCAUUGCAAUGUCCACUCCUUCCUGUGUUCAAAUCCACCACUCCAUCACCAGUACCAGGUGAAUGGUGGUUGUCUUGGCCCCCAGCACCACUAUGCCCCAAUGGUCCCUCCCGGUCACCACACUGCUGGCCCCCUCCUGGCCCCCGCUGGUCCGCCCCAGCUGAUGGCCGCCACCCCCCAGCCACCUCACACUCACACCUCCCUGUACGGCCAGGCACCCAUGGCCGUGCCACCCCCACAGGCCGUCCCUGCCCAUCUUGCAGCUGUCCCAAGUCAGCUGUCCGCAGCACCUCAGAGUCUUGGGGUCAGUGUCGCCCCACAGAUGCCUCCUCAGCACCACCACCACACCCACACACAGCCCACACCUCCCCUGGUGACUCCAUUCCCGGCCCACACUCACCUUCACCAACUCCAUCAUUUACAUGCAAGCAGUGGGAGUGGAGGUGCCGCCCGAGGAGCUAGCGUUGACAUGCUGGGGCGGGGACUGUACCGAGGCCCCACUCAGGGUCAUGUGCUGGGGCGCAUGAGAGGACCCAGAGGGAGCAGCGGAACCAGUCUUGGUGGCACAAGACGUAGUAGUUCAAGUUGGCGAGGCAAUAAUAUUCCUCCAGCAGCCCCUCCCCCUCCACCACCUCCUCCUCUUCCAAGUGCUGCUGCAGCUGCUGCCACAUACCCAGGCAUUCUCUUACAUUUCCUGGCAAUGUUGUCACACCCCUCGCUGCACCAGUAUAGCGUGGUAGACCCAGUGCCUGCGGAGGCUCCAGACACGGAGAACUAUGAGGCCCUGCUACAUCUUGCAGAGAGGCUUGGUGAAGCCAAACCAAGAGGCCUUAUGAAGACCGUGAUUGACCAGCUCCCGUCCUAUAGGUAUACUGGGGAAAAGUCUGAGACAAAACAGAUGACGUGUGUAAUCUGCAUGUGUGAUUUCGAACUGCGGCAGAUGUUACGUGUCUUACCAUGUCUGCAUGAAUUUCAUACCAAGUGUGUUGAUAAGUGGCUUAAGUACCAUGCAGUUGAGUCCCUUCACUGUGGUUGGUGCCGCGCAGUUGGUACCCAUGACUGUGUUCGGUGCCGAGCGGUUGGUACCCUUGACUGUGCCCCGAGCUAACCAGUGCGUGUGUCUUGCAUGAGCAGGAGGGUGGCGUGCCUUGUGCCGUGUACCACUGCUGGCUGCUUGCAUGCUUGCAGUAUCAUGAUGAUGGCCUUUUUGGUGCCUGCAGUCUAACCGGACUUGCCCUAUCUGCCGAGGAGAUGCCAGCGAAUUUCUUAAAGAAGCGGCCAAU